rnacentral:rRNA from 1 species
UACGAAGGGGCUAGCGUUGCUCGGAAUCACUGGGCGUAAAGGGUGCGUAGGCGGGUCUUUAAGUCAGGGGUGAAAUCCUGGAGCUCAACUCCAGAACUGCCUUUGAUACUGAGAGCUUGAGUUCGGGAGAGGUGAGUGGAACUGCGAGUGUAGAGGUGAAAUUCGUAGAUAUUCGCAAAGAACACCAGUGGCGAAGGCGGCUCACUGGCCCGAUACUGACGCUGAGGCACGAAAGCGUGGGGAGCAAACAGGG